rnacentral:rRNA from 1 species
GACGAACGCUGGCGGUGUGCUUAACACAUGCAAGUCGAACGGUAAGGCCCCUUCGGGGGUACACGAGUGGCGAACGGGUGAGUAACACGUGAGUAACCUGCCCUCAUCUCUGGGAUAACAGUCGGAAACGGUUGCUAAUACUGGAUAUGAGCUUGCAAGGCAUCUUGUGGGUUGGAAAGAUUUUUUUUGGUUGGGGAUGGACUCGCGGCCUAUCAGCUUGUUGGUGAGGUAGUGGCUCACCAAGGCUUCGACGGGUAGCCGGCCUGAGAGGGCGACCGGCCACAUUGGGACUGAGAUACGGCCCAAACUCCUACGGGAGGCAGCAGUGGGGAAUAUUGCACAAUGGACGGAAGUCUGAUGCAGCAACGCCGCGUGCGGGAUGACGGCCUUCGGGUUGUAAACCGCUUUCAAUUGUGACGAAGCUUUUUUGUGACGGUAGCAGUAGAAGAAGCACCGGCUAACUACGUG